GGCGCACGGGUGAGUAACACGUGGGAACAUACCUUAUAGUACGGAAUAACUGCGGGAAACUGUAGCUAAUACCGUAUAUUCCAGUAAUGGGAAAGAUUUAUCGCUAUAAGAUUGACCCGCGCAAGAUUAGCUUGUUGGUGAGGUAAAAGCUCACCAAGGCUUCGAUCUUUAGCUGGUUUGAGAGGAUGAUCAGCCACACUGGGACUGAGACACGGCCCAGACUCCUACGGGAGGCAGCAGUAGGGAAUAUUGGACAAUGGGGGCAACCCUGAUCCAGCAAUGCAGCGUGAGUGACGAAGGCCUUAGGGUUGUAAAACUCUUUCAUCGGUGAGGAUAAUGACAGUAGCCGAGGAAGAAGGACCGGCUAAUUCCGUGCCAGCAGCCGCGGUAAUACGGAAGGUCCUAGCGUUGUUCGGAAUUACUGGGCGUAAAGCGCAUGUAGGCGGAACAGAAAGUUAGAAGUGAAAUCCCUGGGCUCAACCUAGGAAUUGCUUUUAAAACUUCUGUUCUGGAAUUCAGGAGAGGAAAAUGGAAUUUCCAGUGUAGAGGUGAAAUUCGUAGAUAUUGGAAGGAACACCAGUGGCGAAGGCGAUCUUCUGGAUUGAUAUUGACGCUGAGAUGCGAAGGCAUGGGUAGCAAACGGGAUUAGAUACCCCGGUAGUCCAUGCAGUAAACGAUGGGUGCUAGUCGUCGGACUUUUGUUCGGUGUCGUA
rnacentral:rRNA from 1 species